GCCCGGUUAGCUCAAUCGGUAGAGCGUGAGACUCUUAAUCUCAAGGUUGCGGGUAAGUGUCUCCACAAUCCAGGAUUCUGGCCCGACUCGGUCGUCGAUCUCACAAUUAUGCAGGUUCGACCCCCGCAUCGGGCU